rnacentral:lncRNA from 1 species
UGGCUAGAAGCCAGUCUGGAGGCCGCCAUGUUGCUCUGGAUGCCAGGGACGGAUCACAUGUCGAGGGUCCCUACUGUCUGAUGAAUGAAUAAAUCACAUGCUCUGGUUUAGGAACUGAUGUAGGAUCAGGACCCCCCCCCCCCCCAUUCACAACGUGUCUCAGAGUAGGACUGCUGAUCAGGACCCCCAUUCACAAUGUGUCUCAGAGUAGGACUGCUGAUCAGGACCCCCCCAUUCACAACGUGUCUCAGAGUAGGACUGCUGAUCAGGACCCCCAUUCACAAUGUGUACUGUUACUGAGAGUGUGAAUAUGGGACCUGAUCCUAGAUCCAGUUCUGUUACUCUGAGACUGUUUGUGAAUAUGGGACCUGAUCCUAGAUCCAGUUCUGUUACUCUGAGACUGUUUGUGAAUAUGGGACCUGAUCCUAGAUCCAGUUCUGUUACUCUGAGACUUGUUUGUCAAUAUGUGUAUAGCUCUUUAGUAUCACAACUCCUCACAACCUUAUUGAAAAUUGUAUUGAUAGUUCACCUGAAAUUAUAUUUUGAUUUAUUUUGUAUGCAGUCUUGGGACCAAGUAAGACGGUAAUCCAUGAUGCCUUAUGUUUGUUUUACCUGGACACUGUCUCCAAAUAAUAAAUCUUGUUGUUGUUGUUGUUGUCCAAAACCUUGCAAGUCAAUGUCCUCCCUCAUGUCCUGGGUGAACUAUCCCGUCAACCUUUUACACGUGUGGGGAUUGGCUUUUAUAGACGGGGCUAAACUGGAAGGUUUCUUACUGAAGAAAUAUGGGAUGCAUAAACUUAGUAGAAUUAUUUUUUAAAGAACCGUUUGGGCAUUAUGAGAACAGUAUGGGGACGGUUUGGAGAUUAUGGGGACAGUUUGGAGAAAAUGGCAACAGUUUGGAGAUUUUGGGGACGGUUUGGAGAUUAUGGGAACAUUUAGUAGAUUAUGGGGAAAUGAUUAGACCAAAGGUGAGGACACAACCGUUCACCUGACACAAGACUCUCUUAAGUGUACACACAGUACCUAAAGUGAGAGGACUAACUGCUGUCUCCCUAAAGUCAUUUCGAUGUACUUUUAUGACUGAAAUAAGUGUUUUUUAAGGUCUUUUUAAAAAUCUCUCCUAGCUGUGAGGAACUAGAGCAGGCACACUGGGGGGUGAUUCUGUUU